UACGUAGGGGGCUAGCGUUGCUCGGAAUGACUGGGCGUAAAGGGCGCGUAGGCGGUUUGUACAGUCAGAUGUGAAAUUCCUGGGCUCAACCUGGGGGCUGCAUUUGAUACGUGCGGACUUGAGUGAGGAAGAGGGUCGUGGAAUUCCCAGUGUAGAGGUGAAAUUCGUAGAUAUUGGGAAGAACACCGGUGGCGAAGGCGGCGACCUGGUCCUUGACUGACGCUGAGGCGCGAAAGCGUGGGGAGCGAACAGG
rnacentral:rRNA from 1 species